rnacentral:rRNA from 1 species
CUUGACUCUAGUUUGGCACCGUGAGGAGACGCGCGAGGCGCAGCAUAAGUGGGAGGCCCCCGCGGCCGCCGGUGAGAUACCACUACUCGCGACGCUUCCUCACUUACUCGGCGAGGCGGGGCGCGCGGGCGGCUCGCCGCCCGCGGCGUUCUCGAGCCAAGGCCGGGGGGGCGAGGCCCUCCCGGCCGACCCGAUCCGAGGACACCGUCAGGCCGGGAGUUUGACUGGGGCGGUACGUCUGUCAAAGGAUAACGCAGGUGUCCCAAGGCCAGCUCAGCGAGGACGGAAACCUCGCGCGGAGCAGAAGGGCAAAAGCUGGCUUGAUCCCGACGUUCAGUGAGCGUGGGGACCGCGAAAGCGCGGCCCAUCGAUCCUUUUGACCCGGAGGGUAUCCGGCGAGAGGUGUCAGAAAAGUUACCACAGGGA